rnacentral:piRNA from 1 species
UUUAACAACUGGUGUGACAUGGGCACAGAU